rnacentral:lncRNA from 1 species
AAGUGCUCUAAUAUCAUUUCUGUGUGCUGGGUUGCGCACCCAUCAUGUUUUGGGAAAGAUCCUUUAGUGGAAUCUCCUGGUUCUACAAAUAAGAAACUGGAAUGUGGCAUUGUGGAAGCUGAGAAGUCUGGGGUCAAGAGGGCUGUGUCUGGUGAGAGUCUUCGUGCUGGUGGGGACUCUGCUGAAUCCCGAGGCCAUGCAGGCCAUCCCAUGGGAGAGGACCCCUCAGCUGAGUCACCAGGACUGCAGGAAGACACAUUUCAGAAAGUUCCAGGACAGGCACACAAGACUCCAAGC